rnacentral:rRNA from 1 species
UAGGGAAUCUUCCACAAUGGACGCAAGUCUGAUGGAGCAACGCCGCGUGAGUGAAGAAGGUCUUCGGAUCUAAAGCUCUGUUGUUGGUGAAGAAGGAUAGAGGCAGUAACUGGUCUUUAUUUGACGGUAAUCAACCAGAAAGUCACGGCUAACUACGUGCCAGCAGCCGCGGUAAUACGUAGGUGGCAAGCGUUGUCCGGAUUUAUUGGGCGUAAAGCGAGCGCAGGCGGAAUGAUAAGUCUGAUGUGAAA